GGUGGCUCAGUAGUAGAGCGCUUGCCUUAUAUGCAUGAGGUCCUGGGUUCGAUUCCUCAGUACCA
rnacentral:tRNA from 1 species